UGCUGUUGUAGGUUGAAAGCCUGGUC
rnacentral:piRNA from 1 species